rnacentral:rRNA from 1 species
UGACCUCGGAUCAGGUAGGGAUACCCGCUGAACUUAAGCAUAUCAAUAAGCGGAGGAAAAGAAACCAACAGGGAUUGCCCUAGUAACGGCGAGUGAAGCGGCAACAGCUCAAAUUUGAAAGCUAGCCUUCGGGUUCGCAUUGUAAUUUGUAGAGGAUGCUUUGGGUAAAACGCCAGUCUAAGUUCCUUGGAACAGGACGUCAUAGAGGGUGAGAAUCCCGUAUGUGACUGGAAAUGUUAACCUAUGUAAAGCUCCUUCGACGAGUCGAGUUGUUUGGGAAUGCAGCUCUAAAUGGGAGGUAAAUUUCUUCUAAAGCUAAAUAUUGGCGAGAGACCGAUAGCGCACAAGUAGAGUGAUCGAAAGAUGAAAAGCACUUUGGAAAGAGAGUUAAAAAGCACGUGAAAUUGUUGAAAGGGAAGCGCUUGCAAUCAGACUUGUUUAAACUGUUCGGCCGGUCUUCUGACCGGUUUACUCAGUUUGGACAGGCCAGCAUCAGUUUCGGCGGCCGGAUAAAGGCAUUGGGAAUGUGGCCUUCACUUCGGUGGAGGUGUUAUAGCCCAGUGUGUAAUACGGCCAGCCGGGACUGAGGUCCGCGCUUCGGCUAGGAUGCUGGCGUAAUGGUUGUAAGCGACCCGUCUUGAAACACGGACC